GCCCCAGUAACGGCGAGUGAAGCGGCAACAGCUCAAAUUUGAAAUCUGGCCACUGGGUCCGAGUUGUACUUUGCAGAGGAUGCUUUGGGCGAGGUGCCUUCCGAGUUCCCUGGAACGGGACGCCACAGAGGGUGAGAGCCCCGUCUGGUCGGACACCGAGCCUCUGUAAAGCUCCUUCGACGAGUCGAGUAGUUUGGGAAUGCUGCUCAAAAUGGGAGGUAUAUGUCUUCUAAAGCUAAAUAUUGGCCAGAGACCGAUAGCGCACAAGUAGAGUGAUCGAAAGAUGAAAAGCACUUUGAAAAGAGGGUUAAAAAGUACGUGAAAUUGUUGAAAGGGAAGCGCCUAUGACCAGACUUGGGCCCGGUGAAUCACCCAGCGUUCUCGCUGGUGCACUUUGCCGGGCACAGGCCAGCAUCAGUCCGGCGUGGGGGAUAAAGGUCCCGGGAACGUGGCUCCCUCGGGAGUGUUAUAGCCCGCUACGCAAUACCCUACACCGGACUGAGGACCGCGCACUGCGAGGAUGCUGGCGUAAUGGUCAUCAGCGACCCGUCUUGAAACACGGACCAAGGAGUCGUCUUCGUAUGCGAGUGUUCGGGUGUCAAACCCCUACGCGUAAUGAAAGUGAACGCAGGUGAGAGCUUCGGCGCAUCAUCGACCGAUCCUGAUGUUCUCGGAUGGAUUUGAGUAGGAGCAUACGGGGCCGGACCCGAAAGAAGGUGAACUAUACCUGUAUAGGGUGAAGCCAGAGGAAACUCUGGUGGAGGCUCGCAGCGGUUCUGACGUGCGAAUCGAUCGUCAAAUAUGGGUAUGGGGGCGAAAGACUAAUC
rnacentral:rRNA from 1 species